rnacentral:rRNA from 1 species
AGUGAACGCUGGCGGUAGGCCUAACACAUGCAAGUCGAACGGCAGCACAGUAAGAGCUUGCUCUUACGGGUGGCGAGUGGCGGACGGGUGAGGAAUACAUCGGAAUCUACUUUUUCGUGGGGGAUAACGUAGGGAAACUUACGCUAAUACCGCAUACGACCUACGGGUGAAAGCAGGGGAUCUUCGGACCUUGCGCGAUUGAAUGAGCCGAUGUCGGAUUAGCUAGUUGGCGGGGUAAAGGCCCACCAAGGCGACGAUCCGUAGCUGGUCGGAGAGGAUGAGAGGCAAGAAUGGAAAUGAGACAAGGUCCAGACGCCGACGGGAGGCAGCAGUAGGGAAGAUGCCGCAAUGGGCGAAAGGUUGAAGGAGCAAUGCCGAGUGAGUGAGGAAGGGCUUCGGAUCGUAAAACUCUGUUAGUAGGGAAGAAAAAAUGUGUAAGUAACUAUGCACGUCGUGAAGGUACAUAAUCAGAAAGCAACGGCUAAUUACGUG